rnacentral:lncRNA from 1 species
UCGCAUGAGUUGAAUGCUUUACUGCCUCACCCUCUGUUCUUAAGGUUAGAUGUUGGAAUCUAUAUUAGUUGUUAGCUUUCUAAAUUUUACAGAGUUUUGCUUGUAUGUUUCGCCUUGAAUCAUGCUAAAAGUUGAAGAUUUCUUGUCUAUAUCCGAGUUGGUCUCGACUGCCCCUCCUUUUUCCCCCUUUCUUCGCAGUGGCUUGGGGUAUAUUGUCCCAUUAUCUGACAUGCCUUGUUUUGAUCGAAUCUGUGCCUCCUUUUUUCCUAUUUUAGUCAGAAAUUGCUUGUUAUUCGUAUUUGAUUAAUACAAAGAGAUUCUCUCUAUAGCCUUCCCGGUCUUAGCUUAUCUUAGUUUGCAUUUUCCUUUAGUUGGAUUGCCUAUUUCCUCUAAUUUCCUCUGUUGUGCUUAUAAUUUUGAUGAUAAGCUAUGUGCAAUUGAUGAAAUAUAAUGCAAUUUGGACCUUUCCAGUUAGUUAUUUUGCUCCCUGCCGUUGAUCCUAACCUGUGAUGUCAAUUGUGUUUCUUUCUUUUGUGUGAUCUCAAGUUAUAUAAUGUGUAUGCUUCACAUGUUGUGACAAGAAUAUAUGUGUAUGCUUCAAAUGGUUAAUUACUACAUGUUUGAUUGUCUGGUUUUCUUUAAGGCAUUGGAAGUGAGUUGAUUGGGGAUAGUUACAUGUUCUUAUUNNNNN